GAAUACAAAGUGAAGAAAUUUCUAGAGACAACAAAAUCGGAGUGAAAUUAAGAGUUUUGAUUCUGGGUCUGAAUGAAUAUAUCUUCUUGGUUCUGAAAACAGAGGAAAAACAGAGUGAUUUAAGCUCUGAAAUGUCUUUAAUUGGAGGAGAGUUUUAUUUUUUUUCUUGACAGUGAGAAAGUUGAAGGAGACUGGGAGAAAGAAGGAUAGAUUCAUCCAAUCAUUAAAAAAAAAAAUUCAUUUGGAUUCAAACAUCAUCAAGAAAAAGUCAAAUUCACGGACAAAUUGAAGAACAGAAAAAAACCCAAAUCUCAACAGGAUUUGUUGAGUGUUUAUAAUGGGAAUUACUGGAACAGAGUCAUCAACUAAUGAAUCCGCCACCAUGAAAUCACCAACACCACCGCAACCGGUGGUGGGUGAAGCCCUUGAAUUAGUGAAAUGUGAUUGUUGCGGAUUAACAGAAGAAUGCACAUUAACAUACAAAUCUAAAGUGAAAGAAAGAUAUCAAGGAAAAUGGAUUUGUGGCGAAAAUUGCGCCAACCCCAACAACAAAUCCAAUCCCAAAUUCUCUUAUUUGUUUGUUUUGAUCUACUAUUCUCUAACUUAAGCCAUGGAAAGGAAUGUCCCAUGGGGUGUAUAGUUUUGCUGUCUUAGUUUUGGAAAUGACCAAAGCAAUAAUUGAGAGUCGGAAUUUGUGCAAACUCCUUAAUCGAAUGUAAAUUUCACAUUUCAAUCUCUA